GUCCCCUUGGUCAAUCUCUGUGGGUUUGGUUUCUCACCCUUUAAAAAAAAAUUAGGGUUAAAUAAGAGGACUGUGCUCGGUCCUAUAGUGUCAAUUAAAAUAAUCCCGUAUUUAUUACAUAACAUGUGAUUAUAAAAGCAAAUGUGAUGUCAGUACUGUAAUUCCCUUUUAUGAGUUCUUUCAGGAUUAAGUUAGAGUUGCUCCCAGGUCAGAAAGCAACAAGUUUCUGUUUACCGGCCGGUCGUUUUGAAAUUAACAGAGGGGAACCAAAAGUCUGCUCAAAAGCCAGGGUUUGGGGACGUUGUGUAAAUAAUUUUUUAAAAACUACCAUGUGAAAAGCUGCCGUCCCCACACCAAGAUGACACAUGAAUCAGUCAUUUCCCCUGAACGAGUAUUACCUCACAUUCCCCGUCCACUGAUGGAGAAAGAGAAGCUGAUUUAGAGUUUGGGGUUAUGAUACUGCUGCUGUUCAUUCCUUUGACUCAUACCUGAGACACAAGAAUUCCUGGAGUUCGACCUUGUGCUUUGGGAAAGCCCUGGGACUCCCUUCUGCAUGCCUCCCUUUCCCUAACUUCCAAAGCCUGUUACCUCACUUACGAUUACCUACCUGGACUUGAGGAAAGAGAUUCUGCUCUGCCCUGCUCAGCUCAGCAAUCUGGCCUUUUUCCACACGAAGUGCCCAAGAUGAAAAAUCCACUUGUCAGUCCUACAUACUUAGUCCAGUGCUCAUCAGAGUCCUGUGAAUUCAUCAAAUAUGUGAUUUAAACAGUGAUACACUUCUAUACUGGAUCAGCAUACAUGAAGAGAUCUCACAGUUUUUGCCUGGAGACACAAACUUCAAAAAGACUUUUGGAGUGACCAGAUGGAGAUACGGAGAGUUCAGGCUCUCUCCAUAGCUCUGUGGGGUAGAAGGGACAGACCGUCCUCAUUUUGUACGAGAAGCCGAAACACAAAUUGUUGUUCAUCCUUCGUUUCCAAAGAGGACCAGUGACAUCACGGGUGAUGUCUUGACUUCGGCGAAUUGGA